GGGAUUAGAUACCCCACUAUGCUUAGCCCUAAACAUAGACAAUACAAACACAAUAUUGUCCGCCAGAGAACUACAAGCGAAAAACUAGAAACUCCAAGGACUUGGCGGUGCUCCAUAUCAACCUAGAGGAGCCUGUCCUAUAAUCGAUACCCCACGCUAAACCUCACCAUCUUUUGCCAAUCAGCCUAUAUACCGCCGUCGUCAGCCUACCUUAUGAAAGCAAAACAGUAAGCAAAACAGUUAACAACUAAUACGUCAGGUCAAGGUGUAGCACAUGAGAUGGAAGAGAUGGGCUACAUUUUCUGCCACAGAACAUACGAAUGACACAAUGAAACCUGUGCCUAAAGGUGGAUUUAGUAGUAAGAUAGAAAAGCAACACUAUCUUAAACCCGCUCUGGAGCGCGCACACACCGCCCGUCACCCUCAUCACUAUUUAUAAUAUAACAAAAUAUAAAGCUCUAAAUAAACCAGAUGAGGCAAGUCGUAACACGG
rnacentral:rRNA from 1 species